CACGUAGGCGGUCUGUUAUGUCGGAUGUGAAAGCCCUUGGCUUAACUGAGGAAGUGCAUCCGAAACUGGCAGGCUAGAGUACUAAAGAGGGUCGCGGAAUUCCCGGUGUAGAGGUGAAAUUCGUAGAUAUCGGGAGGAACACCGGUGGCGAAGGCGGCGACCUGGGUAGAUACUGACGCUGAGGUGCGAAAGCGUGGGGAACAAACA
rnacentral:rRNA from 1 species